rnacentral:lncRNA from 1 species
UUUGGUCAUCAAAAGAACACAGUGGUCAUUCUUGGCUUGGAUGGAAAUUUGUGCUGGCAUGUGUUGUUGUUGCCUCUUGGAUAUAUGCUUCUAGGUAGUUGAAGGAGGUGAUAUCUGACUUCUCUAUCAGGUUUAUGACAAUUGAUAAGAGUUGGAUUAAAUUGGGAAACCGGAAUUCUCCGGAUUUCUUAAAUGGUAUUCGCAACUUUAUAGAGAUUGCCAAGAACCAUGUCAACGAUCAAGGCAAAGCGUUUUGCCCAUGUAGACGAUGUUGCAAUGGGAUACGACAUGAUUUGAAAACAAUAGGAAACCACAUACACGAGAGUGGGUUUCUGUCAUCAUACCGAACAUGGCAUUAUCAUGGUGAGGAACAUCCACAGGCUGAGGAGAUAGCAGCCCUUUUUUCUCACCGAACACAUACUCUCACAACAAGCAAUGAGAUGUUUGACUUAAUUGAUGAUAUUAUGGCGGAACAACCUACUCAUACCCCAGGAGCUACACCUACUGAAGGA